rnacentral:rRNA from 1 species
CCUACGGGGGGCAGCAGUGGGGAAUAUUGCACAAUGGGGGAAACCCUGAUGCAGCGACGCCGCGUGAGUGAAGAAGUAUCUCGGUACGUAAAGCUCUAUCAGCAGGAAAGAAAAGGACGGUACCUGACUAAGAAGCCCCGGCUAACGCCGUGCCAGCAGCCGCGGUAAUACGUAGGGGGCAAGCGUUAUCCGGAUUUACUGGGUGUAAAGGGAGCGUAGACGGCGCGGCAAGUCCGGAGUGAAAGCCCAUGGCUUAACCAUGGUACUGCUCUGGAAACUGUCGAGCUUGCGUGCGGGAGGGGCAGGCGGAAUUCCUAGUGUAGCGGUGAAAUGCGUAGAUAUUAGGAGGAACCCCGGCGGCGAAGGCGGCCUGCUGGACCGUAACUGACGUUGAGGCUCGAAAGCGUGGGGAGCAAACAGGAUUAGAUACCCCUGUAGUC